CAUCUCGUAUUCAAAGCCGGCUCAGCCAGCACAGUGAAUCUGGGUCCGCCUGAAGCGCAGCACGGCCAUGCUCGUUCGUUGCGGCUACGUUGCGGCCGCGCUGCUUGCUCUGGUGCACGCGGUAGUCGUGUUGGUUGGAGCAAUUACGCCGCCUAAUGGUCCCAUAAAAGUACCCGUUCGCAACGGAAGGUGCAUCUACCGUGGCAGAUCCGUAUGGGAAGCUUACAUCACCCUUGCAGACGGGAAGUGCUUGAAAGCCCGAUGCAAGCCCAAGGAACGCCUGCUGCACUUCAUUCCGAUGAAGGAAUGUAUGCUCCCAGCUGCUGGUAGGGGAUGUUUCUACGAGGACGGACUUUUGGAACAGCAAUGCUGCAGGCCGUCCACGAUUUGCUAUUAGCGACAGCCCCAAAUAAUGGGUGCCCUGUGCCCUCGCAGUCUGUGCUUCGUACUUACCGAAACAGAAGAAUAAACGAUUCGUUGGA